UGAAUAUAUUCCCCGAUAAGUACAAAGGAAACAGAGCAAUGUGAAAAAUAAGGACUUAUAUUUGACUUCGAAGUGACUAUUGGACUUAGAAAAUUAAUAGCUAUUCAUCAUAACUACGAGAAGUGACUUGAGAGUGGCCAUUCAUAUAUCAACACUGUAGAGUACAAGGUUAAAUUUUGAUGCAAUAGCCGACUAUGUGGAAUUGUGGAUCCAAAGAUAUCACCUCAGCCUGAAAAAUAUCCUUGAAGAGCGCAGAGCACAAAUGAAAGCCAGACUUAUGUACAAAGACUGAGUAACUUUAGCUCCCCAAAGACUGAGUAACUUUUUUCAGAAUUCAAGUACAAUGUAUGAUUAUGAUUUGAGAGGAUCUUCAACUAGACUUUGCCUUUCCAGGCCUAGAACAAAAUGUCUAAAAAAUAGUUUCAGUUACAAUGGGGCUCAUGUCUGGAAUCAAAUUCCGGAAGACAUAAGAUCUUCGGCAUCUUAUAAUUCGUUUUGUGAAAAGCUUUCUUCCGCUCGACUAUUUCAUUUAGCAAUUAUCAUGCUUAAAUUAUAGUAGUAAUUUUCUUAGAUUUCUUUACUAAUUUUUAGUAGUAUUAGUUAACAAAUUCAUAAUAUUUAUAUAAUUUAUGAAAUCAGUAAUGAACAUACAUCAU